GAUGAACGCUGGCGGCGUGCCUAAUACAUGCAAGUCGAGCGAACAGACGAGGAGCUUGCUCCUCUGACGUUAGCGGCGGACGUGUGAGUAACACGUGGAUAACCUACCUAUAAGACUGGGAUUACUUCGGGAAACCGGAGCUAAUACCGUAUCAUAUAUUGAACCGCACGGUUCAAUAGUGAAAGACGGUUUUGCUGUCACUUAUAGAUGGAUCCGCGCCGCAUUAGCUAGUUGGUAAGGUAACGGCUUACCAAGGCAACGAUGCGUAGCCGACCUGAGAGGGUGAUCGGCCACACUAGAACUGAGACACGGUCCAGACUCCUACGGGAGGCAGCAGUAGGGAAUCUUCCGCAAUGGGCGAAAGCCUGACGGAGCAACGCCGCGUGAGUGAUGAAGGUCUUCGGAUCGUAAAACUCUGUUAUUAGGGAAGAAGAAAUGUGUAAGUAACUAUGAACGUCUUGACGGUACCUAAACAGAAAGCCACGGCUAACUACGUG
rnacentral:rRNA from 1 species